UACGUAGGGGGCAAGCGUUGUCCGGAAUGACUGGGCGUAAAGGGAGCGUAGGCGGCUUUUUAAGUUGAAUGUGUAAUUCUGAAGCUUAACUUCAGCGCUGCAUUCAAUACUGGAAGGCUAGAGUAUGGGAGAGGUAAGUGGAACUCCUAGUGUAGCGGUGAAAUGCGUAGAUAUUAGGAAGAACAUCAGAGGCGAAGGCGACUUACUGGAACAUAACUGACGCUGAGGCUCGAAAGCGUGGGGAGCAAAC
rnacentral:rRNA from 1 species